AUCCAGCUGACGAUUGCUAAAUAGGACGAAAUGCGCAUCCUGGAU
rnacentral:hammerhead_ribozyme from 1 species